UACGGAGGGGGCGAGCGUUAUUCGGAAUUAUUGGGCGUAAAGGGCGCGUAGGCGGCCCGGUAAGUCAAAGGUGAAAUCCCUCGGCUCAACUGAGGAACUGCCUUUGAAACUGUCGGGCUUGAGGCCGGGAGGGGGUAGCGGAAUUCCCAGUGUAGCGGUGAAAUGCGUAGAGAUGUGGAGGAAUACCGAUGGCGAAGGCAGCCCCCUGGGAUAACACUGACGCUCAUGCACGAAAGCGUGGGGAGCAAACAGG
rnacentral:rRNA from 1 species